GCGGGUAUAGCUCAGUUGGUAAAUCAUCUCAAUUAUAAUUUUGAGAAAUCCCAGCUAAUCUUGGGUAGGGAGAGCGUCAGGUACUUAGCACUGAUCACUUGAAUUCUCCAUUCACUAAUAAUUAAACAGACUGAAGUUCAAGUCAGCCAUUUAAUCUGAAGGUCAUGUGUUCGAUCCACAUUAGCCGCA
rnacentral:tRNA from 1 species